rnacentral:rRNA from 1 species
UUGCGGCCAUAUCAUCUUGAAACGCCGAUCACUGCAAGAUCACUGAAGUUAAGCAACGUCGAGCCUGAUUAGUACCGAGAUGGGUGACCACUUGAGAAUACAACGUGCGGUAUG